GGUGUCCCCCGCGGUGGCUGCCGCUGCUCGGGCUCUUUGUCCUGCUGCUCCCCGCCGCUUCCCAGGAGCACGGCUGGGCGAGAGCCAUUGGUAAGAGGCUGCCCAGGGACGAGCGAGCUGGAAGUCAGACAGGUCACUGCUAGCAUUUGUGGAAUUGGCCUUGCUGCAGGAAAAACUGGUUUUCAGCAUUCCCGUUAGGAAGGAACUCGAGUGGUUGUAUAAUUAAAAUGCAGGGGGAAAAAAAAU